UACGUAGGGGGCUAGCGUUGUCCGGAUUUAUUGGGCGUAAAGCGCGUGUAGGCGGCCUGCUAGGUCUGGGGUGAAAACUCGAGGCUCAACCUCGAGAUGUCGGCUGAAACCAUCUGGCUAGAGUCCGGAAGAGGAGAAUGGAAUUCCCGGUGUAGCGGUGAAAUGCGCAGAUAUCGGGAAGAACACCCGUGGCGAAGGCGGUUCUCUGGGACGGUACUGACGCUGAGACGCGAAAGCGUGGGGAGCGAACAGG
rnacentral:rRNA from 1 species